AUUAAUUGUGUGAAAUUUGCAGUUACCCCCAUAAACACUGAGCUUGAGCUGCUAACCGCACAGAUAACUUCUCUUUAGCUCAAGGCUGAGGAUUUUUAACCAGAUUUUCUGACUACAUGAGGGGAGCAGACAUGCUUCCUGCUCUUUGAGUGAUUUCCUUGGGACUCUCGUCAUCAAUUUGGCAAAGCCUAGAAUCAAUUAGGGCUCCACCGACCCAGCCCUUGUAUCCGAUUCACAGAUGCCCCCCAAGCCAGACAGUCUAGGGGGUUUCUACCAUUCAGGAUAUGCUUAUUCUCCUUCUGUUCCUUUCUUUCCCUAUCAAAGCUCACUCAUUCUCUCAUCUCCUAUGGGAUGGCCAUGUAUUUGUUCCAUCCUCUUUACUAGACAGGAGGAAAAAUAAUUUUCCAAAUGACUUUCGAAUCUCUUUGAUAUCAUUAGAGAAGUCACUUAACAGUUAAGUGUGUUGUUAGGUUCAGGGAUUAAACAAAAAAAAUAUUGUCCUCAGUGAUUCCCCUUCCCAGUGGGAGAGUUCACUUUGUUCCCUCAAUAAUACAGGCAUUCUGGCUUGUAGGUUAAGUUGGGUGUGUGAGCUGCAUACAGUUCUGAAGUUUGUUAAUGAGGCAAACAUUUGUGGUCCCGAAUGGAACCCUGAAAUGAUACUAGGCUAAAUCUGGGUGUGGACUCAUCAAAGCUGCUGUGGGCAUCAUGAGAUUGGGAGGACUAUUUCUUUCCUGAGACUAGAACUGGGAAAGUGAGAAGGGUUCCCAGUAAAAGUGAACAGGGUGGGGGUUAAGAAGGGUCACCCCUAAGAUCCUGUAGGCAGGGCAUUCUUAAAGCCCAUUUGAAAAUAGGUUAAACCUAUAUACUAAUGUUUUCAUCCAUGGUGGUAGUAAUUAGAGAAGACUUACCACAGUUGUUGGGAACCCAAAGGAAAAGAGAGUGGGACAUCAUUGCAUAGUUACUCCUCACCUAAAGGGACAAGCCUGUAAUUAGAAGCAAAUGACCUACUCCUUUCUCAGGACUAGAUACCUUGUCACUGUAAGUGGUCCUGGAAGAUAGAAACAAUAUUGGAGAAAUAAUUAAACAGUAGCUCAGAUGUAAUUUUAGGGGCUGUUAAAAAUUUGACAUUCAAUCUUAUUGAUAUUGAAUACCCUUCAGAGGGUGCAGUAUGGUGAAUGGCCUGAGUAGCAAGAGUCUUGGGUUGAGGGUGAUACAUGAUGUUUAUUGUUAGGCAGGUAGUCGCUGUAAUUGGCCACUCCAUGGUCUGCUUAGCUCCUCUUCCUAAUGUCUGUUAGGAUACUAGAUGUAUAAUGUCAGUUAUAUAUCCACAUUCUGAAAUGGGAAAGUGGUUUUGGUGAUUUGCUUCUUUUAUCUCUUAGCUUUCCCCUCCUUCAUUUAUUUUAGCAUCACCAAAGUGCCUACAGUUAGCUGGCAUGUGCUGUUUGUCCACACACUCUGAAAUCCUGCCCUCUGUGCUGCUAGACUGAGUGGUAAAGAGUACCAGAUUCUAAUGGGAACCUGAGGUUGAAUUCUUAAAUAUCCUAUGUUUUGUCCUUUCUUCCAAUUGUGAGAGUAUCUGAGGCGAUCGACAAACUUUUGAAUUCAGAUCAGAGCUGGAAAGAGGGAGCUUACAGUGGUGUCAGUUCUGUGGGAGGCUGGAUUAUGAUUAGAAAGUGGGAUAGGGUGGUUGUUUUAAAAGAACAGAGAAAAACACGUAAUGGUGCUAGAGACCUUCAAUCAUUCACCUAUGACUCAUGAGCACUUUCCGCAACAGGUUCAAAAUUUUCAUUCCUCAUGUUCCAACUACACCCCACUUCAGCAGGAAGCAGAUAGAUUGAUCUAUGCACUGAUUCCCUAAGAUUGAGAAAUGAGCCUAGAAAAGGCCGGGUAGGGAGGGGGGGACAUUGUAACCGGUUCUAUAAGCAAGAAAAUGUUUUCUCAAUAAUGUUUUUGGUUCCCUCAUAUUUCAAAUGAGUUUUCAGUGUUCCCAUUAUGGCUGGAGCUGGCAACUCUAAGUGGCCUUGACAGCAAGAUUUAUCUCAGCCUUGGUAACUUAGCAGCUACCACUUCAAUUAGGCAGAAAAUAGAGAACUCUUCAGCAAAAUUUGCUGACCAGAACUUUGCAACUUUCUGUUGUAGGGAUGCAUUCUCUUUUGAGUUCCUUUCCCAGGAACAAUGAAACCUCCUACAAAGCCUCACACCACUUGCUUGUCUGCAGAAGACAAGAUAAGCAAUGCUCCACCACAGACUGUGCCCAAAGACCCACUGAGCCUGCACCCAAGGCUGAAAGAAUGGCCAAUCUUAACCCCUAGCUCUUUUUAAUGCUAAAAUCUCCUCCCUGGAAGGGACUUAUCUGCCAUUUUUUGAUCAUGGGAUGUAUGUAUGAGCAUGAUUUCUUACUGUGCUUGCGUGCCCUGCACUCUACCCCAAACAUGCAAUGAUGCUCACACCCCUCAUGCAUUAUUCAUUUUCCCUGUAGAAAAUCCCCCUGACCCUGUUGGUCAGGGGCAGAUUAGAGACAGUUCAUACCUCCCACUCCCUGUUGACACGUCCACAGAAAUCCUUUCCUCCUAACAAUCCUCGCUGUCUCAGUAAUUGGCUUUCUGUGCAGCAGACAACAUUGAACCCUCCUUGUGGGUUCAGUAACAGUGUUACAAGGAAUUUGGCAAUGGUGUUAAGCAAUAAUUUUUUUCCAGCUUUGGGGUGCCAAUUGGGGGCCUUUUCUGUUGCUCAAACUAGGACUGGGAGCUGCCUCUUUCUCUUUGGAGCAAUGUGCUGAAUGAUAAAGUGCCAGUCCUUUUCCAUGCUAGGUGAGGAUACAGACCCUUGAAAGUGUCAGUUCCUAGGUUGAUGGUAAUUGGAAGAGCUUUUGGGGUGACUCUGAAGAAGCCAGAGAAUAUGCUAGAAAACACAUGAAUGGUGAUUUCUUAUCCUGUAGGAUAAGGCAAGGGGGAAAGGGAAUAACUGGUAUCUACUGGACAAGUGGACUUUGUCUUUGUGGGUGGUCAGAUGAUACUCUUCUUAGCUAUUGCUUCCCCUUUCAGUUACCUUAGGUCUGUCUGAUUCUUGCCAUAAAGAAAGAGUAAUUAGAUGGGGCAGAGAAGGGAUGGCAAAAGGAGAGUAAGCCAAGCAGAAACCCGGAUAAAGUUAAAAAUAAAAGAGAAUAAAAUGGCAGAGCAGUUAGGCUACAUCAACAGAGAUAGGACAAGAAGGAGAUAAGACAAGUUGGAUAGGGAUUAUUUGAUUUUGAAAAAAGAAAAGAUAAAUGAGCAUUGAGGAAAAGGCCAAUGAUAAAAAGACAAGGAAGGGGGCAGAAACUUACCAGAAAACCAGAGACAGACCCAGAAAAGAUGAAACUUCCUUUCCUUUAUUUCUACUUUCUUCCUUUCCUCCCUCCUUUCCUUCCUACAAACUCCUGAGUGUCUACUCCAUGCUAAGUUUUAGCUAGGUAGUAAGGAUAAAAGCUGAAUAAGACUCAUUCCCUGCUCUGGAAAAUCUAAUACAUAGUGGGGAGAUAAUGUCAUGGCUGACUGUAGGGCAUGGGGGUGAGAAAUGGGUUUCCAAGGACUGACUUUUCUGUGUGUAGUAAGGAGAGGCCUAAUGUAUUUGGAGACUCCCCAGAAUGGGUUCUGCAGUUAUCUUUUAAAUUGCUAUUGGGCUAAGGGUAGAAGACCAGCUGACUUAUAUGGCCUGAGGAUUCAGACCUUCCUGUGGCUCCUUUUCAGGUAGUAAGUGGGGUGGUAUUACAGGUACUGGACAGGAGUCUGAAGUGAGUGAGGGCUGGGAGGCUUCCUGUGUCCUCAGUGCCAUACUCACAGGCACAGUGGGAGAGGUGAUGGAUGUUCUCACCUCUUCUCUCCCUGAAGUAUUGACAUCUAAUUUAUGGGUUGCUGAAGUCCAGGAAGCCUGAGGACCAUAGAACAAAUACCUCUCUUGUAGAAAAGGAGAUCAGUGUUUAAGGGUGGGUUAAAGGUCAUUGCUGAAGCUAGGGAAGGGACAGAACACAAGGUUUUCACCCUUUGAUGACAAAGCUUUUCCGAGGGAGGUGUAAUUGUGCGCAUUGAAAAACAAAAACUCCCAUGCUAGUUACAGAGAGUUCCCAGAAUUUGGGCCUUCUGAGGGAAUCAGGAUUUGGGCUUGUAAAGCAGGCAUUGAAGAAUAGCUAUGAAUUUCCAGAGUUUGGAGAGGCAGUAAAUCCUUUGGUAGUUAAGGAUGGGAUCUGGGAACCUCUUCCUACCUGGCUGAAGGUAUUUUCUCUUAAUGCUAACUGGGAGGGGGCAGAACUAAGGCACUGGCCACAUAGACCUGGACAGAGACACAUUUGUGUUUAACCCAUAGACACAAAGCUGGGUGAAGGACGUCGGCUCCACUACUCUCAUUUCACCAAACAUUCUGAAGAAUUUUUGGUGUACUAAAUAGUCCUGUAAUGAGGGACAGUGCUUCAGGUUGGUUGGCUGUCUUGGCAAAACAAAAACAGCACCAUAUUUUUCUCACUUGCCAUGGGACACUGAAAACUUUAAUAUACUCGCCACAGUCCUUAGACAGCACUUAAUUUCUAUAGAUGUAGCCCAGCCCACUUCAGAAAUGAUGGCAUAAAGUCACAGAGCUUCUCCAUCUUUCUUUGAGCAGAUGGCCAAAGGAGGCAUUUUGGGUCAGCAAGAAUAGGGCCAGACACUUUGUGGAGAUUCUGAAAUCUCUGGCUUAUGGAUUGAUUAGGGGUCUCACCCUGCCUUCCCCUACUGAAAGUACUAUCUAUGGCAAUUUUGCCAAUGUCCCAACACUUUAAUCUGUUAUAAAGUUUGAAAGUCUGUUUUGUGACUCUCCUAUUCUCCCUUUGGUGCAUAUUCUGCCCUUUUUUUUUAAGUGUUUUUGGCUGUCCUCCCAACUAACUCUCAGGUGUUCCUUGGGAAAACACCAAACAAUUCAUAACUAUGGUAAAAACAAAACAAAACACACACACAAAAUAAAAGACAAACCUGUGUGUCUUACUACUGAUAGCAUUAGAUUUUGUUUUGUUUAUUAGUAUUCCUUUAAAUGGUGUUGAGUUUCUGGACCUAAAGAUAUCCUGGCCUGGGAGUAAUUCUUAAUGCACGCAAACGUAAAUAGCACAAUGGCUCUGAUCUGUAUCUCUCAUGAUCUCUGCACUACUGUUCAAUUCAAAGACAACUACUUGCUUUCAAGGCUUUGACACUGAGUUUCCCCUGAGUAGCUAGCAAGCACCCUGACUUCAAAACUGAAAAUAUUAGAUUUGAAGGCAUUUUGAACAAGAAACGAAGAGCCUAUGCUCUAGGCCUGAACUUUGGAAAAUCUCCAGAUUUCUUUGGGUUUUGGUUUCCUCAUGGGGAAAGUUGGGAUAUUAAUACCUACCUGACAGGGUUGUUGUGAGGAUUAAAUGUGCUCGGUAAUCUGUCAUGUUACACAAAUGUCUGCAAAUUUUGUUAUUACUUAAAAGCCAGUUUUAAAUAUGCCCUGACCACAUAGCAGAUAUGCUGCCAUUUCUACCAUCAGACCAAGGGUUUUCAUGUCAUAUAUUGUAUGUUAAAUCACUGAGAGCAAAAUUUUAUGUUUUUAUGUAAAUUUUUGCGUGUGGAAAGGGUCUCUAGCUUUCCCCAGCUUCCUUAAAGUUCAUGACCCUAAAAAGUUGAAAGCCAGUGCUUCAGAGUUGAAAAGCUGAAUUCAGUAACAGGAAUAGAUUGAUUGCUUCCAGGAUUUCUCUUAACAUCUCUGUAGUAUUAAUUGCAGUGUUUCUUAGAUAGGAAAAUUCUUAAUGUGGCCUGAUGACUGUACAGAACAUUCAAGAUUGGGACUGAAAGUCUUGGACAUACAGUCAUGGGUAGUCAUUAGAUUAUCCAGUGUCUUUAGUGUAAAAGUGUGCAUAAAACAAAUUAUUAACUGUUUGGCCAUUAGCAAGUCACCUUGUCUCAUGGAGUCUGCUAACCUCAUAAAGUGAGGAUGUAACCUUGAAGAUUUCUAAAGCUCCUAGUUUGGAUUCUCUAGGAAAGAGAGAUUGAAGCUGGGCUUGGAUGGAGCCCUAUUGUGGCAGAAAUGGACCAGACUUUGCCUAGGAGAAAACAGACGGAGUGUCAGAGAGAGGAGGAGGGGCUGAGCUUCCAAGGAGCCCCCUUCUGUAGGAAGAUGGAAGACACAGGCCUGCAAAGAGUGGCAAAGAGUCAGCAUCCUCAGGGCAGGAAGAGACCUGGUGGGCUGCUUCUUAACAGCCAAGACUCUGAGGACCUGAGACUCAACCUCCUUAUUUCACCCUGGGAUUGGCUUGCCCGAACACAAGUUAUCCCUCAGUGAGCGAACACAUCAUCCUGCCUGCGCCCAGAGAACUUCUGACUCGCACAGGAGCAAAUGCUUUGCGUCUUCCCACUUCCCACUUCCCACAUCAGGUGGCUUGGCUACUUCCAGAAAAUGCUGCUCUCCAAAUGCGUCAAGACACAAAGAUUUGAAGCCUUGCAUCCUUAGUGUGGAAGCAGCACUGGCUGAGAUCUGGUUCUUUGGAAAUAGACAAGGUCUCAUUCCAGGAGGAUUUUCAUGUAGAAGAUGAGUGGACGCCAAUGAGACACUGGGAACAAAGGCUCCACACUGUGGUGUUGGGCUGUCUCUUAAUGUGGCAGGCGAAAGUGUGCUUUUGUGGACAAGUAUAGGAUAGGAGGAUUCUAUUAUGUGGAGGCUUCUUUGAAGUUGUGGAUUUCCACUUUUGGAACAAGUGAUGACAUUAUAUGCCCAGUACCAAAGUGCGUAAAUAUUGCAUCAAAACCUUCUUGAGGUAUAUGCCAUCUCACAAUGUAUUUAUUUCAAAGUGAUAUCAGGGCACAAUAAUAAAGCAUACUUUUGAUGACAUAG